GACGUCGAAGGAUCGACGCAGGCUGACCAAGGAUGGAUGGCCAUGGACAGUCGCAGGAUCGCGGCUACUUCGUCAGGAUGACGAACCCACGGAUGGGAACGACACGAAGCGGCGAGGCUAACCCCUCGCCGUUUUUGU
rnacentral:sRNA from 1 species